GACGAACGCUGGCGGCGUGCUUAACACAUGCAAGUCGAACGGAAAGGCCCUGCUUUUGUGGGGUGCUCGAGUGGCGAACGGGUGAGUAACACGUGUGUAACCUGCCCUUGACUUUGGGAUAACUUCAGGAAACUGGGGCUAAUACCGGAUAGGAGCUCCUGCUGCAUGGUGGGGGUUGGUAAGUUUCGGCGGUUGGGGAUGGACUCGAGGCUUAUCAGCUUGUUUGUGGGGUAGUGGCUUACCAAGGCUUUGACGGGUAGCCGGCAUGAGAGGGUGACCGGCGACAUGGGGACUGAGAUACGGCCCAGAAUGCAACGGGAGGCAGCAGUGGGGAAUAUUGCACAAUGGGCGGAAGCCUGAUGAAGAAACGCCGCGUGCGGGAUGACGGCCUUCGGGUUGUAAACCGAUUUCGCCUGUGACGAAGCGUGAGUGACGGUAAUGGGUAAAGAAGCACCGGCUAACUACGUG
rnacentral:rRNA from 1 species